rnacentral:rRNA from 1 species
GAUGAACGCUGGCGGCGUGCCUAAUACAUGCAAGUCGAGCGAAUGGAUUAAGAGCUCGCUCUUAUGAAGUUAGCGGCGGACGGGUGAGUAACACGUGGGUAACCUGCCCAUAAGACUGGGAUAACUCCGGGAAACCGGGGCUAAUACCGGAUAACAUUUUGAACCGCAUGGUUCGAAAUUGAAAGGCGGCUUCGGCUUUCACUUAUGGAUGGACCCGCGUCGCAUUAGCUAGUUGGUGAGGUAACGGCUCACCAAGGCAACGAUGCGUAGCCGCCCUGAGAGGGUGAUCGGCCACACUGGGACUCAGACACGGCCCAGACUCCUCCGGGAGGCAGCAGUAGGGAAUCUUCCGCAAUGGACGGAAGUCUGACGGAGCAACGCCGCGUGAGUGAUGAAGGCUUUCGGGUCGUAAAGCUCUGUUGUUAGGGAAGAACAAGUGCUAGUUGAAUAAGCUGGCACCUUGACGGUACCUAACCAGAAAGCCACGGCUAACUACGUGCCAGCCGCCGCAGUAA